rnacentral:rRNA from 1 species
AUUGAACGCUGGCGGCAGGCCUAACACAUGCAAGUCGAACGAGUGGCGGACGGGUGAGUAAUGUCUGGGAAACUGCCCGAUGGAGGGGGAUACCUACUGGAAACGGUAGCUAAUACCGCAUACCAUCGGAUGUGCCCAGAUGGGAUUAGCUAGUAGGUGGGGUAACGGCUCCCCUAGGCGACGAUCCCUAGCUGGUCUGAGAGGAUGACCAGGCAAACUGGAACUGAGCCACGGGCCAGACUCCUACGGGAGGCAGCAGUGGGGAAUAUUGCACAAUGGGCGCAAGCCUGAUGCAGCCAUGCCGCGUGUAUGAAGAAGGCCUUCGGGUUGUAAAGUACUUUCAGCGAGGAGGCGUUACUCGCAGGAGAAGCACCGGCUAACUCCGUGCCAGCAGCCGCGGUAAUAC